AGUGAAGCGGGAUGAGCUCAAAUUUGAAAUCUGGCUGGUUUACUAGUCCGAGUUGUAAUUUAAAGAAGCGUUUUCGGUGGCAGCCUGGGUAUAAAUCCUUUGGAAUAGGGUAUCAUAGAGGGUGAGAAUCCCGUCUUUGACCUAGUGCAUGCUACUAUGUGAUACGUUUUCAAAGAGUCGAGUUGUUUGGGAAUGCAGCUCAAAAUGGGUGGUAAAUUUCAUCUAAAGCUAAAUAUUGGCGAGAGACCGAUAGCGAACAAGUACCGUGAGGGAAAGAUGAAAAGAACUUUGAAAAGAGAGUUAAACAGUGCGUGAAAUUGUUGAAAGGGAAACGUUUGACACCAGUCAUGUGGGUGGAAAAUCAGUCUUUUGCAUUGGGGAGUUGUAAAGGUUCGGACCGCAAGGCCGGCUUUUGCUUCAUCUUUGGUGUAAGGGAUGCACUUUUUCAUCUACAGGUCAACAUCAGUUUCUUUUGCUGGACAAAACUCCGAGAGAAGGUAGCAGCUUAGGCUGUGUUAUAGCUCUGGAGCGAUACAGUGAAGGGGACUGAGGUUUUCGCAGCGUGUGCUCUCGGGCAAGGCUGGAUGGGUGCUAUGGGAUCGUUCGGGGUACAAUGCCUGGCAUUUUGCUUCGUGUCUUUUCUAUACUCGCUCAACUCAGCUCUUCCACGCUUAGGAUGUUGACUUAAUGGUUUUAAACGACCCGUCUUGAAACACGGACCAAGGAGUCUAACAUAUAUGCAAGUGUUUGGGUGGCAAACCCAUGCGCGUAAUGAAAGUGAACGUAGGUGCGAUCCGCAAGGUGCAGCAUCGACCGAUCUUGAUAUUUUUGGAUAGAUUUGAGUAAGAGCAUAUAUGCUGGGACCCGAAAGAUGGUGAACUAUGCCUGAAUAGGGUGAAGCCAGAGGAAACUCUGGUGGAGGCUCGUAGCGAUUCUGACGUGCAAAUCGAUCGUCAAAUUUGGGUAUAGGGGCGAAAGACUAAUCGACC
rnacentral:rRNA from 2 species